GGAUGAACGCUGGCGGCGUGCCUAAUACAUGCAAGUCGAGCGAACAGACGAGGAGCUUGCUCCUCUGACGUUAGCGGCGGACGGGUGAGUAACACGUGGAUAACCUACCUAUAAGACUGGGAUAACUUCGGGAAACCGGAGCUAAUACCGGAUAAUAUAUUGAACCGCAUGGUUCAAUAGUGAAAGACGGUUUUGCUGUCACUUAUAGAUGGAUCUGCGCCGCAUUAGCUAGUUGGUAAGGUAACGGCUUACCAAGGCAACGAUGCGUAGCCGACCUGAGAGGGUGAUCGGCCACACUGGAACUGAGACACGGUCCAGACUCCUACGGGAGGCAGCAGUAGGGAAUCUUCCGCAAUGGGCGAAAGCCUGACGGAGCAACGCCGCGUGAGUGAUGAAGGUCUUCGGAUCGUAAAACUCUGUUAUUAGGGAAGAACAAAUGUGUAAGUAACUAUGCACGUCUUGACGGUACCUAAUCAGAAAGCCACGGCUAACUACGUG
rnacentral:rRNA from 1 species